GAUGAACGCUGGCGGCGUGCCUAAUACAUGCAAGUCGAGCGAACGGACGAGAAGCUUGCUUCUCUGAUGUUAGCGGCGGACGGGUGAGUAACACGUGGAUAACCUACCUAUAAGACUGGGAUAACUUCGGGAAACCGGAGCUAAUACCGGAUAAUAUUUUGAACCGCAUGGUUCAAAAGUGAAAGACGGUCUUGCUGUCACUUAUAGAUGGAUCCGCGCUGCAUUAGCUAGUUGGUAAGGUAACGGCUUACCAAGGCAACGAUGCAUAGCCGACCUGAGAGGGUGAUCGGCCACACUGGAACUGAGACACGGUCCAGACUCCUACGGGAGGCAGCAGUAGGGAAUCUUCCGCAAUGGGCGAAAGCCUGACGGAGCAACGCCGCGUGAGUGAUGAAGGUCUUCGGAUCGUAAAACUCUGUUAUUAGGGAAGAACAUAUGUGUAAGUAACUGUGCAUAUCUUGACGGUACCUAAUCAGAAAGCCACGGCUAACUACGU
rnacentral:rRNA from 1 species